GGUUGUAUAGUGUAGUGGUUAGCACAUCGGAUUUUGACGUCAUUGAGCGACAAAAUCUUCCGAUAACCUGGGUUCGAGUCCCGGUACGACCU